CAUUUUUCAGGUCUUUCCAUAGAUUUCCAAGUAGAUUUAAGUCAAAACUGUAACUCGGGACACUCAGGAACAUUCACUGGCUUCCUGGUAAGCAACUCCAGUGUAGAUGUGUUCUAGGUUAUUGUCCUGCUGAAAGGUGAAUUCAUCUCCCAGUGUAGAUGUGUUCUAGGUUAUUGUCCUGCUGAAAGGUGAAGUCAUCUCCCAGUGUAGAUGUGUUCUAGGUUAUUGUCCUACUGAAAGGUGAAUUCAUCUCCCAGUGUAGAUGUGUUUUAGGUUAUUGUCCUACUGAAAGGUGAAUUCAUCUCCCAGUGUAGAUGUGUUCUAGGUUAUUGUCCUGCUGAAAGGUGAAUUCAUCUCCCAGUGUAGAUGUGUUCUAGGUUAUUGUCCUGCUGAAAGGUGAAUUCAUCUCCCAGUGUAGAUGUGUUCUAGGUUAUUGUCCUGUUGAAAGGUGAAUUCAUCUCCCAGUGUAGAUGUGUUCUAGGUUAUUGUCCUGCUGAAAGGUGAAUUAAUCUCCCAGUGUAGAUGUGUUGUAGGUUAUUGUCCUGCUGAAAGGUGAAUUCAUCUCCCAGUGUAGAUGUGUUCUAGGUUAUUGUCCUGCUGAAAGGUGAAUUCAUCUCCCAGUGUAGAUGUGUUCUAGGUUAUUGUCCUGCUGAAAGGUGAAUUCAUCUCCCAGUGUAGAUGUGUUCUAGGUUAGUGUCCUGCUGAAAGGUGAAUUCAUCUCCCAGUGUAGAUGUGUUCUAGGUUAUUGUCCUGUUGAAAGGUGAAUUCAUCUCCCAGUGUAGAUGUG